rnacentral:rRNA from 1 species
AUCAUGCGGGCACGUGAUAGGGAACCUCGAGUGCCUGUAUAUGCAGGCUGUCCAGGUGUCUAAAACACACCUGAAGAAAGGGCCGGGCAAGACCGGUGCCAGCCGCCGCGGUAAUACCGGCGGCUCGAGUGGUGGCCACUUUUAUUGGGCUUAAAGCGUUCGUAGCUGGGUUGUUAAGUCUCUUGGGAAAUCCGGCAGCUUAACUGUCGGGCGUCUAAGGGAUACUGGUAAUCUUGGAACCGGGAGAGGUGAGGGGUACUUCGGGGGUAGGAGUGAAACCUGUA